UACGUAGGCAGCAAGCGUUGUUCGGAAUUACUGGGCGUAAAGAGUGUGUAGGCGGUGUUCUAAGUUUGGUGUGAAAUCUCCCGGCUCAACUGGAAGGGUGCGCCGAAAACUGGAAUGCUAGAGUAUGGGAGAGGUAAGCGGAAUUCCUGGUGUAGCGGUGAAAUGCGUAGAUAUCAGGAGGAACACCUGUGGUGUAGACAGCUUACUGGACCAUCACUGACGCUGAGACACGAAAGCGUGGGUAGCAAACAGG
rnacentral:rRNA from 1 species